AGGACGAACGCUGGCGGCGUGCCUCAUACAUGCAAGUGGAGCGACGAACCAGGAUUUAUCCUGGGGCAAAGCCGCGAACGGGUGAGUAACACGUGGGUUACCUGCCCCGAUGAUUGGGACAACCCGAGGAAACUCGGGCUAAUACCAAAUGUGUUCUUGGUCGUGAUGACCAAGAAGAAAGGAAGCCUCGGCCUCCGCAUCGGGAUGGGCCCGCGGCCCAUUAGCUAGUUGGUGGGGUAAUGGCCUACCAAGGCGACGAUGGGUAGCUGGUCUGAGAGGACGAUCAGCCACACUGGGACUGAGACACGGCCCAGACUCCUACGGGAGGCAGCAGUAGGGAAUCUUGCGCAAUGCGCGAAAGCGUGACGCAGCAACGCCGCGUGGAGGACGAAGGCUUUCUGAGUUGUAAACUCCUUUCAGCAGGGACGAUUGUGACGGUACCUGCAGAAGAGCACCGGCAACUACGUGCCAGCAGCCGC
rnacentral:rRNA from 1 species